GGACCCGCACAAGUAGUGGAGCAUGUGGUUUAAUUCGAAGAUACGCGCAGAACCUUACCAACACUUGACAUGUUCGUCGCGACUCUAAGAGAUUAGAGUUUUCGGUUCGGCCGGACGAAACACAGGUGCUGCAUGGCUGUCGUCAGCUCGUGUCGUGAGAUGUUGGGUUAAGUCCCGCAACGAGCGCAACCCUCACUUUUAGUUGCCAUCAUUAAGUUGGGCACUCUGAAAGAACUGCCAGUGAUAAGCUGGAGGAAGGUGGGGAUGACGUCAAGUCCUCAUGGCCCUUACGUGUUGGGCUACACACGUGCUACAAUGGUAUCUACAACAGGAAGCAAGACUGCGAAGUUUAGCAAAUCCCUAAAAGAUACCUCAGUUCGGAUUGCACUCUGCAACUCGAGUGCAUGAAGCUGGAAUUACUAGUAAUCGUGGAUC
rnacentral:rRNA from 1 species